UGGUUUCAGCCACCAGCCAACCAGCGCCAUCCUCCCUCCGCUCGUCGUCCAGUCCGAUCUAGCAGCGGCACCAGGUCGUGCCCCUGCUCUCCUCCUUCUCUCUCUUCUCUCUCUGAUUCUAUCUCUCACCCCGACCUCCCUGUUCUUCUAUAAGAGCCCGCGGAUCCCGCUCGAACGUCCGGGAGCGCCUGCAGCUCGCGUCUCCACCCAUCGUCGCCGCCUCUUCGGCCAUCCCCACCACCGCCGGCGAGCAUCAUCACGCCCCAGGGACAUGGCGCCGCUCGUUCUUCUGCAAGCCGGAGCAAGGACCCGUAGGAACCCCGCCGUUCGGAUCCGCAACCCCGUGCCUCCUCCUCGCACAUGCCCGGCCGCGCCACCGGAGCCCGCAGAGGAAGUGCUCCGUCGCCCGCUGCAUGUAGCCGCGCUGCUCCCCUUCCCCGUCGCCUUCUUCACUGGACCGAGCAGCUGCCGGUCACCUUCGCCUUGAGCUGCCGGAGAACGCGCCCGCCGCUGCAAGUCCCAGCACGCGCCCGCGAAGACUCUGCUUCCAGUGCCGCCGUCUUGUUCGUUCUCUGCCGCGUCAAGCUCGAUCCGGUCCCCGUUGACCGCGAGCGUCGGCUGGGUCACAGCCGCGCAGGCCCAGCUCCCUUCGCCCGCGAGGCCCAGCUCCGCAUGCCCUUGCAGGCCCAAUGUGAGCAGCCCGGCUCCGUCAGAUUCGGCCCGAUGCAAUUUUUUCCCUCUGGACGAUUUUAGUUAUUAAUCCAGAGAAUGUCGGUUUUACAGAAAAACCCUCAACAUUCAUGCAUUUAAUAACUCAUGAACCGUGCAUCAUAUUAAAAUAUUUUA